CGUCUGGACGAAAACACGUCAUCAGAUACGCCAUUGGGGUUGGCUCUGUGAACAUCAAAAAUCUGAAGAGCCUGGCUUCUGAACCCAAAGACAGCAACACCUUCUACGUUAACGACUACAAAGGGCUCAGACGUAUCCUGGACAACAUGCAGGAUAGAAUCUACAACGUGGAAGAUGAGAAGACAAAAUGCUGGUCCUUUGUAAACGAGAUGUCG